GCAGACACAUUCCAGGCAAUCAGCAGCAGACCCUCCCUCCCAGACCCUCCCACCUCCUGGACAGCUCACUAAGAAUGCAGGCUCACAAUGAAUGUAAAAUGGAUGCUGUCCAGGAGGUGGGAGGGUGUGGGAGGGAGGGUCUGCUGCUGAUUGGCUGGAAUGUGUCUG